UUUUGAAACUACGCCAGACCCACCACACUUAGCCAAAGCGACAGCAGCUGCCGAAAGACAAAGCAAGGAUCCAGAUGGAGUUUCACUCUGGUUGUCCAAGCUAGAGUGAAAUAGCCUGAUCUUGGCUCACUGCUACCUCUGCCUCCCGGGUUCAAGCGAUUCUCCUGCCUCAUCCUUCUGAGAAGCUGUAACUACAGUAUGAUUUGGAGGGAUAAAAUGUUUCCUGAAACUCAGGGUCUGUUAAUCUUCAUCAACUUUGUAUCACAACCAUAAGAGAAGGACCAACGAGUGAAUUAAAGCUGUUAACACUCCUCUGAAACGAAUGAAGAGACAUACUUGCUGACCCUCUUUAUGGAGCCAGAUAUCCUCCUUCUUUGACCAAAUCCCAC
rnacentral:lncRNA from 1 species